rnacentral:tRNA from 1 species
GGUGGGGUUCCCGAGCGGCCAAAGGGAGCAGACUGUAAAUCUGCCGUCAUCGACUGCGAAGGUUCGAAUCCUUCCCCCACCACCA